CGCAAGCCUGACGGAGCAAGACCGCGUGGGGGAGGAAAGCCUUUGGGUUGUAAACCCCUUUUCUCAGGGAAGAAGAAAGUGACGGUACCUGAGGAAUCAGCCUCGGCUAACUCCGUGCCAGCAGCCGCGGUAAUACGGAGGAGGCAAGCGUUAUCCGGAAUUAUUGGGCGUAAAGCGUCCGCAGGUGGCUUAUCAAGUCUGCUGUCAAAGACUGGGGCUCAACUCCGGACACGCAGUGGAAACUGAUAGGCUAGAGUGCAGGAGGGGUAGAGGGAAUUCCCGGUGUAGCGGUGAAAUGCGUAGAUAUCGGGAAGAACAUCGGUGGCGAAGGCGCUCUACUGGACUGCAACUGACACUCAGGGACGAAAGCUAGGGGAGCG
rnacentral:rRNA from 1 species